UACGAAGGGGGCUAGCGUUGCUCGGAAUUACUGGGCGUAAAGCGCACGUAGGCGGAUUGUUAAGUCGGGGGUGAAAUCCUGGAGCUCAACUCCAGAACUGCCUUCGAUACUGGAAGACUCGAGUCCGGGAGAGGUGAGUGGAACUGCGAGUGUAGAGGUGAAAUUCGUAGAUAUUCGCAAGAACACCAGUGGCGAAGGCGGCUCACUGGCCCGGUACUGACGCUGAGACGCGAAAGCGUGGGGAGCGAACAGG
rnacentral:rRNA from 1 species